ACCUUAAUGUUGCCUCGGCGGAUCAGCCCGCGCCCCGUAAAACGGGACGGCCCGCCAGAGGACCCAAACUCUAAUGUUUCUUAUUGUAACUUUCUGAGUAAAACAAACAAAUAAAUCAAAACUUUCAACAACGGAUCUCUUGGUUCUGGCAUCGAUGAAGAACGCAGCAAAAUGCGAUAAGUAAUGUGAAUUGCAGAAUUCAGUGAAUCAUCGAAUCUUUGAACGCACAUUGCGCCCGCUGGUAUUCCGGCGGGCAUGCCUGUUCGAGCGUCAUUUCAACCCUCAAGCCCCCGGGUUUGGUGUUGGGGAUCGGCUCUGCCCUUCUGGGCGGUGCCGCCCCCGAAAUACAUUGGCGGUCUCGCUGCAGCCUCCAUUGCGUAGUAGCUAACACCUCGCAACUGGAACGCGGCGCGGCCAUGCCGUAAAACCCCAACUUCUGAAUGUUGACCUCGGAUCAGGUAGGAAUACCCGCUGAACUUAAGCAUAU
rnacentral:rRNA from 1 species